CUGGCGGCACGCCUAACACAUGCAAGUCGAACGAAGUAGAAAUACUUAGUGGCAGACGGGUGAGUAACAUGUAGGUAUCUGCCCUUUGGCCUGGAAUAACACGAGGAAACUUGUGCUAAUACCGGAUAAGUCUUCACGGAGAAAGCUUUAUGCACCAUUGGAUGAGCCUGCACUUGAUUAGUUUGUUGGUGGGGUAAUGGCCUACCAAGACUGUGAUCAAUAGCUGAUUUGAGAGGAUGAUCAGCCACAUUGGGACUGAGACACGGCCCAAACUCCUACGGGAGGCAGCAGUGGGGAAUCUUGCACAAUGGAGGAAACUCUGAUGCAGCGAUGCCGCGUGAGUGAAGAAGGCCCUUGGGUUGUAAAGCUCUUUCGUCGGGGAAGAAAAUG
rnacentral:rRNA from 1 species